GGCGGCUGCUAUACUGCAGUCGAGCGGACAGAUGAGGAGCUUGCUCCUUUGACUUUUCGCGGCGAGAGGGGUGAAUAACACGUGGGUAACCUACCUAUAACACUGGAAUAACUCCGGGAAACCGGGGCUAAUGCCGGAGUUGUUUAAAACCGCAUGGUUCUAAUGUGAAGGAUGGUUUUGCUAUCACUUAUAGAUGGACCCGCGCCGUAUUAGCUAUUUGGUAGGGUAACGGCUUACCAAGGCAACAAUCCUUACCCAACCUGAAAGGGGGAUCGGCCCCCCGGGAACUGAAACACGGUCCAAACUCCUACGGGAGGCACCAUUAGGGAACCUUCCCCAUUGAGCAAAAUCCUGACGAACCACCCCCCCGUGAUUGAUGAAGGUUUCCGAAUCGUAAAACCCGGUGAUUAGGAAAAAACAAUUGUGUAAGUAACUGGGCGCAUCUUGACGGUACCUAAUCAGAAAGCCACGGCUAACUACGUGCCAGCAGCCGCGGUAAUACGUAGGUGGCAAGCGUUAUCCGGAAUUAUUGGGCGUAAGCGCGCGUAGGCGGUUCUUAAGUCUGAUGUGAAGCCCCGGCUCAACCGUGGAGGGUCAUUGGAACUGGGAACUUGAGUGCAGAAGAGGAAGUGGAAUUCCAUGUGUAGCGGUGAAUGCGCAGAGAUGUGGAUGAACACCAGUGGCGAAGCGACUCUCUGGUCUGUACUGACGCUGAUGAGCGAAGGCGUGUGAUCGACAGAUAGAUACCUGCUAGUCACGCGUAACGAUGAGUGCUAGUGUAUGAGUUCGCCAUAGUGCUGCAGCUACGCA
rnacentral:rRNA from 1 species